CAGAAGUUCAACCAACAACAAAACCUGGAAACAAAACAUCUGGAACAACCACCAGACCAAAAUCAGACAAUGUUUCAAAAAUCUCUGAAGCUCUGUGGCGUAUCGUCAUCGUCUCUGUGGGUUUAGCAGCUCUUUCACUAACUGUUGUAAGCGUCAACAUUUGGACCAGAACUAAAAUGUGA